AUGCUUGCUUCAGCAGCACUUAUACUAAAAAUUGGAAUAAUACAGAGAUUAGCAUGGCCCCAUGCAGAAGGAUGCAAGUCAUAUGGAAGAGCUAAAAGAAGAACGA
rnacentral:snRNA from 1 species